UACAGAGGGGGCAAGCGUUGUUCGGAAUUACUGGGCGUAAAGGGCGCGUAGGCGGCCUGCUAAGUCGAACGUGAAAUCCCCUGGGCUCAACCCAGGAACUGCGUCCGAUACUGGUUGGCUUGAAUCCGGGAGAGGGAUGUGGAAUUCCAGGUGUAGCGGUGAAAAUGCGUAGAUAUCUGGAGGAACACCGGUGGCGAAGGCGACAUCCUGGACCGGUAUUGACGCUGAGGCGCGAAAGCCAGGGGGAGCAACGGG
rnacentral:rRNA from 1 species